UGGCUGAGUGGUAAAGCGCUUGGCUUCUAAACCGGGGCUCCCGGGUUCAAAUCCUGG
rfam:Biomphalaria glabrata isolate BB02 linkage group LG7 unlocalized genomic scaffold LG7_random_Scaffold1068, whole genome shotgun sequence.